GAUUUCCGGGUUUCACACGAGGUUUAUGCGUGAAGUUAGAGGCAGCUCUCUCUCUCUCUCGUGCACGGAUAGCUGAUGAGCGCGGUGUCACGACGCUCCGGGAAACAAAGAAAAUAAUCUUCUAGAUGAAUACUGUCGAUGGAUUGAUGGUAGAGAGAAGGAUUUAAAGGGGACGUGCUGUACCUGCACCAUUCUGGAAUUUUCUGUGAGUUAACGAUCUCCUUGGUCAGGUUUUUUUUUUUUGUUGUUCUAUUUCUUCCAAGUCCGAUUGAUGUCCUCAUGUCUGAGGUGAUGAUGUUCUGGUCCCUGUAUUCUGGAUUUGUCCCAGCCUUCCAGUGGUUCUGAGGAGGGUUUGGACUGGCGAGCCUCCCUUGAGUCUAUUCUUGGAUCUUUCAGUUGAGGAAAGACAAGUCUUAGCACUGAUUUGAACUGCGAAUGGUAGGGAAAGGAAUAACUUUCAUCAUCUUUUGUUUUUUUUCUGGGAUGGAGACCUUUUUUCCUCAUCAACAGAUAAAGGACAAUUAACUUUCUAUGGACUUCUCAAAGAACAAUAUACAGAAAAGACUGAAUGUUUUUAAUAUAUUUAAUUGAACAAAUGUUGUUGUUCAAUUAGGUGUCAUAUUGUUUAUUUGGGGUUUUGAUAAUUGAUACUGAUUGAUUACCAAAGAGACAAGUGUGUACAAGUACAACGAGUGAGUACAUUUAACCUCAAUAGAGUUGAGGGAACACUGCAGUAACCGUAGUGAGCUGACUUUACCUUGUUGAAACCCAAAGAGAAAAAUUGAGACCUAGAGAAACAAAGGAAACAACAGCAAGAUUUGGGAAGCUGCAUUCUUGUUGAAAAAAGAAAUACACAUUUAUAUAUUUUUUUAUUUUAUUUUAUUUGUUUAUCAAUUAAUGUAAUUCACCUGUUGAGUAUUUUGAAAAUACACAUUGUGGGUUCAAACGAGUGUUCACUGUUGUUGUGGCAUCUUUCUCAGCAGCGAGUCUAUUUCUUCUGGAACGCUGGUCAAUAGAUUGACAUAUAACAAGUUAUUUAUUAGCCUAAUCUACCUACAGGUUAAUAGCCAGAGAGUAAGCGCUAUACAAUCACAGAGUUGUCCCAAAGCCACUCUUUUAUGGUCUUGGCUGUGUGCUUAGGGUAAUUGUCCUGUUGGAAGGUGAACCUUCGGCCCAGUCUGAG